rnacentral:lncRNA from 1 species
GAAAACACUUAAGAUCUACUGUCUUAGCGAAUAUCAAGUACCCUUAACUAUAGCUGCGAUUCUGGACAUUCAAAACUCUUCUUUGUGUUUUUCAGAUGUUCUGACAUCUGGGCAAUGGAUGCCUUUUACCUGUCAAUGUAAUACUUAGUUUUCAAGGAAGGAAAUUUGGGGUACCUCAACCUGAUCUGCUCAUCGUAAUGCCUUGGCUUCAAAUUACAGAAGUUAUUAGACCAACAUGUUUCAGUGGACCGGAUUUCAUCACCAAGUUGAUUACAAGGAAAUUGAUGCUUCUCCAAACACUGAAACUUCCCUGGCACAGAUGAACAAGAAGAGCCUCUACACUGAAAACUCCAGUGAUCAAUUUUGUCCUCAGCUCC